GGGGCUGUAGCUCAGCUGGGAGAGCGCUGCGUUCGCAAUGCAGAGGUCAGGGGUUCGCUCCCCCUCAGCUCCA
rnacentral:tRNA from 1 species